GCCUGACUGGCUCAGUUGGUAGAGCAUGUGACUCUUGAUCUUGGGGUCAUGAGUUCAAGUCCCAUGUUGGGCG